CGAUGCGUGGGGGCCAGUCCGGGGCUGGAGCCCUGUGGGACCGGCAGCCAGGAGCAGGAUGUCCUUGUGUCCUCAGUGAGAAAAUUGCAAUGUGGCUGUUUUCAGACUGCUGGUGGAUGGCCCGGCCUAGACCACUGUGCCUCCAGGGCAAUCCGGUCACAUCUGCGUCCUCUGCUCAGCAGGCCAUCUUAGUCCGUUUGGGCUGCCACGGCAGAAGACCACGGACCGGGGGCUUGUAAGCCACGGAGAGUUAUUGUUCACGGUUCUGGAGGCGCCAGCAGAUGCGGCGUCUGGUGGGGCCUGCUUGCCUCUUAGCUCAGAGACACCAUCUCCUCACUUUUCCCCACAUGCUGGAAGGGGCGAGAGCUCUCCCGGGGGGGGGGCUCUUUCAUAAGGGCAUUAAUCCAGGUGGCCUGCGGGGCGGGGGGGGCGGUGCUCAGUCGACUCUUGGCUUUGACUCAGGUCACGAUCUCGGGGUACGUGGGAUCGAGCUCCAAGUCGGGCUCUGUGCUGACAGCUGGGAGCCUGCUUGGGAUUCUCUCUCUCUCUCUCUCUCUCU